GACGAACGCUGGCGGCGUGCCUAAUACAUGCAAGUCGAACGAGUGGCGGACGGGUGAGUAAUGUCUGGGAAACUGCCCGACGGAGGGGUAUAACUACUGUAAACGGUAGCUAAUACUGCCUACCCUCGGAUCUGCUGUGAUGGGUUUAGCUAGUAGGUGGGGUAACGGCUCACCUAGGCGACGAUCCCUAGCUGGUCUGAGAGGAUGACCAGCCACAAUGGAACUGAGACACGGUCCAGACUCCUACGGGAGGCAGCAGUGGGGAAUGUUGCACAAUGGGCGCAAGCCUGAUGCAGCCAUGCCGCGUGUAUGAAGAAGGCCUUCGGGUUGUAAAGUACUUUCGGCGAGGAGGCGUUACUCGACGAAGAAGCACCGGCUAACUCCGUGCCAGCAGCCGCGGUAAUUC
rnacentral:rRNA from 1 species